GCCCAAGCUCAGCCCACACCCCCACAUCACUUAACCCACUAAAUUAAGUAAAACAUUUCCCCCAUUAAGUAAAGGCGAUUAAAAGAUGACUAGGAGCCAUAACAACAGUACCGCAAGGGAAACACGAAAUAAAAUGAAAAUUAAAGCACAAUAAAGCAAAGCUUCAACCUUGUACCUUUUGCAUCAUGGUCUAGCCAGUUUGACCAAGCAAAACGCACUCAAAGUUUGACUCCCCGAAACUAGACGAGCUACUCUUAAACAACCUUUAGGGCCAACCCAUCUCCGUAGCAAAGGAGUGGGAAGAUUUAAGAGUAGAGGUGACACGCCUACCGAGCCUAGAGAUAGCUGGUUAUUUAAGAAAAGGAUUUUAGUCCACCUUUAAAUUUUUUUAGUACAUUUAAACAUUCAACAAAUUUUAAAGUCAUUCAAAUAAGGUACAGCCUGUUUGAACAAGGAAACAGCCUUCAAUGUAGGGUAACACCCACCCAACGUGAUUAGGUAGGCCUAAGAGCAGCCAACCUUUAAAAAGCGUCCAAGCUUCACCACCACUUAUCGAUAAUCCCACUGUUAACCCGCAACCCUCAACCACUACUAAAUAACCUCAUAUUUAUAUGAGAAAUAUAAUGCUAGAACUAGUAACAAGAAGAAGACCUUCUCCUAAAUACAAGUAUAAGCCAAUACGAACAACUCACCGGCACUUACCGCCACACAUCUACAGUAGCAACAUUACAAGAAAACUCUACCACCCCCGGCGUUAACCUUACACCAGACUAUUACAGGAAAGAUUAAAAAAGAGGGAAGGAACUCGGCAAAUAUUAGCUCCGCCUGUUUACCAAAAACAUCGCCUCUUGACAAAUUAUAAGAGGUCCGACCUGCCCAGUGACAACUGUUAAACGGCCGCGGUAUCCUAACCGUGCAAAGGUAGCAUAAUCACUUGUUCUUUAAAUCAGGACUAGUAUCAACGGCCUCACGAGAGCUAUUCUGUCUCCCCCCUUCAAUCAGUGAAACUGAUCUCCUCAUGAAGAAGCGAGGAUAUAAAUAUAAGACGAGAAGACCCCAUGAAGCUUUAAACUCGCACCACUGUCUAACACCUACACCAAAAUAAACCAGACAACAUGGUAGCCAGUCUUUCGGCUGGGGCGACCACGGAGAAAAACAAAACCUCCAUGAUGUAAGGACACCCCCUAAUUUAAGAACCACUAUUCUAAAAAUCAACAAAUUGACAUAAAUUGACCCAAACUUUUGAUCAACGAACCAAGUUACUCUGGGGAUAACAGCGCAAUCCAUUUCGAGAGACCCCAUCAACAAAUGGGCUUACGACCUCGAUGUUGGAUCAGGGUAUCCCAGUGGUGCAGCCGCUACUAAGGGUUCGUUUGUUCAACGAUUAAAACCCU
rnacentral:rRNA from 1 species